rnacentral:rRNA from 1 species
GAGGGAGUGGCGCACGGGUGCGUAACGCGUGGGAACCUGCCCUUAGGUUCGGAAUAACUCCCCGAAAGGGGUGCUAAUACCGGAUAAUGUCUUCGGACCAAAGAUUUAUCGCCUUUGGAUGGGCCCGCGUAGGAUUAGCUAGUUGGUGGGGUAAAGGCCUACCAAGGCGACGAUCCUUAGCUGGUCUGAGAGGAUGAUCAGCCACACUGGGACUGAGACACGGCCCAGACUCCUACGGGAGGCAGCAGUGGGGAAUAUUGGACAAUGGGCGAAAGCCUGAUCCAGCAAUGCCGCGUGAGUGACGAAGGCCUUAGGGUUGUAAAGCUCUUUUACCAGGGAUGAUAAUGACAGUACCUGGAGAAUAAGCUCCGGCUAACUCCGUGCCAGCAGCCGCGGUAAU